UGCUGGUCCCUCUAAUUUUUUUCUUUAAAUUUGAUCCUCUAAUUUUAAUCAAUUAAUUUUAGUCCUGCAUUUAUCUUUCAAUCAAAAUAUUAAGGGUUAAGCGUUAUAUUGGUCCCUGUCUUUGUCUCGCUGUCUGAAGUAAGUCCCUCCCCGGAAAAUUUAUUGCAUUGAGUCCUCUUCUUUGAAAUAUUUUUGGGGCAGAUCCUCGCCGGAGGGCGGAGCUCCGGCAAGUGCAUGUGUGGCAUGCUGACUAGGGUUAAUGAAGUGACGUGGCAUUAAAAAAAAUAAAAAAUAAAAAAAAUAAAUUACAAGUCAGAUUUUUAAACCUAAUUAUCCCCUCCCCAAAUUAACACAAAAUUAACUUCAUCUUCACAAAAUCAUCACCCAGAAAUGAGCUUCAUCAUCACCUCCUCCUUCAUCUUCAUCAUCAAAGGACCCAGAUCUCCCCAACCCGCAACCUCACCCCCACCCCCUCACCCCAACCUGAAACCCAUUUUCUUCAUGGAGCCAUCGUGACACAUCCGAGCAUCAUCUUUCAUUCUUCUUCUUCUUCAUUGCGCUCACGCUCAACAAUGAAACCCACAUCUGAGCUUGCCUCUCCCACCCUCAUGGAUCAAUUUUGGGUUUCGCAGAUCUGAGCUUGCCACCAAUUUUCUUCUUCUUCUCUUCAGAUCUUCUUUGAAGAACAAUUUCUUCUCUUCUCCGCUGCAAAGUGUUUCAGAAUCUGUUGUUGUUUGGGGGUGAAGGUGAGGUUGCAAGUGGAUGGGGGUGAGGGUGAGGGUGAGUUUGCAGGUUGGGGUUUGGGGGUGGGGAUGAGGUUGCAGCGGGUUGGGGUUUGGGGGAAGGUGAGGUUGCAAGUUGGGGUUUGGGUUUGAGGAUGAAGUUGCAGAUGUGUGAGGGUGAGGGUGAGGGGUGGGGUUUGGAGUGAGGGUUUGGGGUGAGGUUGCAGGUGGGUGAGGGUGGGGUUGAAGUUGGGUGAGACCGUGAGGGUGAGGUUGAAGGUUGAUGGUUGAUGGUGGGGUUCUGGGUUUGAAGGUUGAUGAAGGUUGAUGGUUGAUGGUUGAUGGUUGAUGGUUGAUGGUGGGGUUCUGGCCUUCUGGAUUUGAAGAUUGAUGGUUGAUGGCAUUUUAAAUCCAGUCAGCAUGCCACACAUGCACUUGCCGGAGCUCCGCCUUCCGGCGAGGAUCUGCCCCAAAAAUAUUUCAAAGAAGAGGACCUAAUGCAAUAAAUUUUCCGGGGAAGGACUUACAUCAGACGGCGAGACAAAGAUAGGUACCAGUAUGACGCUUAACCCAAAUAUUAAGGAUGAAUAUUGACCUGUCGGCUCGGCUGUCGCAGACAUACUUUCCCCCGAAUUAAAAAACGAUCAUCAAGUACUAUUUUAGGGUUUAGGGUUUAGGCACAGAGGAAGAAUUAGAGGAGAACAUCUGAACAACUAAUUAAUCAAAUAAUUACCUGAGUUAAUGCAUUUUGGUUGAUUUAUUUAGCACAUUAGAAAGACUUUGGCGAUAAAGAGAACUAAUGGGUUAACUUUCUGCUUAAUUUGUUGUUCAGUUGUUCUCCUCUUCCUCCAUGACAUAAUAAAACAGAACUUUGACGACCGUUUUUUGAAUUUGGUGGAAAGCAUGUAUGCAACGGGUCAAUAUUCACCCAUAACACCCCCAUAAUUUGCAAGUGGUUUGCUGAGACCAAGACUUGAGUCAGAAGGUUAUAGGUCAACAACUGAUAUAGUUAGUUAAUUUCUCCUUAUAAAUAGGGAGAUGGUUAUUUGUAAACAACAGACAAUUGUAUGUUUGGUUUUCAGUUACCCACGCCCAAAGGACUUUCAACAUGCAUCUAACGCUGUGCCAUUUUGUUUGGCUUUGCAUUCA